rnacentral:rRNA from 1 species
AUUGAACGCUGGCGGAAUGCUUUACACAUGCAAGUCGAACGGCAGCACGGACUUCGGUCUGGUGGCGAGUGGCGAACGGGUGAGUAAUACAUCGGAACGUGCCCAGUCGUGGGGGAUAACGUAGCGAAAGCUACGCUAAUACCGCAUACGAUCUAAGGAUGAAAGCGGGGGAUCGCAAGACCUCGCGCGAUUGGAGCGGCCGAUAUCAGAUUAGGUAGUUGGUGGGGUAAAGGCUCACCAAGCCGACGAUCUGUAGCUGGUCUGAGAGGACGACCAGCCACACGGGGACUGAGACACGGCCCAGACUCCUACGGGAGGCAGCAGUGGGGAAUUUUGGACAAUGGGCGAAAGCCUGAUCCAGCCAUGCCGCGUGCAGGAUGAAGGCCUUCGGGUUGUAAACUGCUUUUGUACGGAACGAAAAGGUUUGGCCUAAUAAGCUGAGCUCAUGACGGUACCGUAAGAAUAAGCACCGGUUAACUCCGUGCCAGCCGCCGCAGUAA